AGCUGAGACACUCAUCUUCUCCUGCCCUGGCACAUCAAAACUCCAGGUUCUCUGAUCUUUGAACACUGGGACUUAAUCCAGCAUCCCCUUACUGCCUGAAGUUCUCAGGACUUUGGACUUGGACUGAACGAUGCUACCAGCUUCCCUGGCUUUCCAGCUUGUAGAUGGCAUAUCAUGGAAUUUCUCAGUCUCCAAAGUAAUGAACAAGCAACCAAGAACCACAAAAAUCACUGGCCACUGACAAAUGACACUUCAAGAGGAAUACAGGCUUAAUAGCUGCGAACACAG
rnacentral:lncRNA from 1 species